rnacentral:rRNA from 1 species
UACGUAGGAGGCAAGCGUUGUCCGGAAUGAUUGGGCGUAAAGCGUCCGCAGGUGGCAGUUCAAGUCUGCUGUCAAAGACCGGGGCUUAACUUCGGAAAGGCAGUGGAAACUGAACAGCUAGAGUAUGGUAGGGGCAGAGGGAAUUCCUGGUGUAGCGGUGAAAUGCGUAGAGAUCAGGAAGAACAUCGGUGGCGAAGGCGCUCUGCUGGACCAUAACUGACACUCAGGGACGAAAGCUAGGGGAGCGAAUGGG